CAGCCGCCACGGUAAUACGUAGGGGGCAAGCGUUAUCCGGAAUUACUGGGUGUAAAGGGAGCGUAGACGGUUAAACAAGUCUGAAGUGAAAUGCCGGGGCUCAACCCCGGAGCUGCUUUGGGAACUGUAGAACUGGAGUGUCGGAGGGGUAAGCGGAAUUCCCAGUGUAGCGGUGAAAUGCGUAGAUAUUGGGAGGAACACCGGCGGCGAAGGCGGCUUACUGGACGACAACUGACGUUGAGGCUCGAAGGCGUGGGUAGCAAACAGGAUUAGAUACCCGAGUAGUCCCUGUCUCUUAUAA
rnacentral:rRNA from 1 species